CCUGCUGUCUAGUAUAAGCAAAUUAUACCGUGAAACUGCGAAUGGCUCAUUAAAUCAGUUAUCGUUUAUUUGAUAGUACCUUACUACUUGGAUAACCGUGGUAAUUCUAGAGCUAAUACAUGCUAAAAGCCCCGACUUCGGAAGGGGUGUAUUUAUUAGAUUAAAAACCAAUGCCCUUCGGGGCUCUUUGGUGAUUCAUGAUAACUUAACGAAUCGCAUGGCCUUGUGCCGGCGAUGGUUCAUUCAAAUUUCUGCCCUAUCAACUUUCGAUGGUAGUAUAUGGGACUACCAUGGUUUCAACGGGUAACGGGGAAUUAGGGUUCUAUUCCGGAGAGGGAGCCUGAGAAACGGCUACCACAUCCAAGGAAGGCAGCAGGCGCGCAAAUUACCCAAUCCCGACACGGGGAGGUAGUGACAAUAAAUACUGAUGCAGGGCUCUUUUGGGUCUUGUAAUUGGAAUGAGUACAAUUUAAAUCCCUUAACGAGGAACAAUUGGAGGGCAAGUCUGGUGCCAGCAGCCGCGGUAAUACCAGCUCCAAUAGCGUAUAUUAAAGUUGUUGCAGUUAAAAAGCUCGUAGUUGAACCUUGGGCCUGGCUGGCCGGUCCGCCUCACCGCGUGCACUGGUCCGGCCGGGUCUUUCCUCCUGGGGAGCCGCAUGCCCUUCACUGGGUGUGUCGGGGAACCAGGACUUUUACUUUGAAAAAAUUAGAGUGUUCAAAGCAGGCCUAUGCUCGAAUACAUUAGCAUGGAAUAAUAGAAUAGGACGUGUGGUUCUAUUUUGUUGGUUUCUCGGACCGCCGUAAUGAUUAAUAGGGAUGGUCGGGGGCAUCAGUAUUCAAUUGUCAGAGGUGAAAUUCUUGGAUUUAUUGAAGACUAACUACUGCGAAAGCAUUUGCCAAGGAUGUUUUCAUUAAUCAGGGAACGAAAGUUAGGGGAUCGAAGACGAUCCGAUACCGUCCGAAGCUUAACCUAAACUAUGCCGACUAGGGAUCGGGGGAGGUAUUUUUUUUUGAUCCCUCGGACUUAC
rnacentral:rRNA from 1 species